rfam:Capsicum annuum cultivar Zunla-1 chromosome 8, whole genome shotgun sequence
UGUUGGUGAUGAGGAUAAUCUGUGAUAAAACCUUUGAAUCUCUCCCACGCUUGGUAUAAAUUCUCACCAGGCUUAUUCUUAAAGCUUAAUAUUUCACUUCUCAUCCU